CUAUCAAAAAACCUCCAAAGAAAAACCUUAAAAAACAAUUCCAAAGAUAAGUCUUCAAAAGUAGCUAGUUCUCUCUUUAUUCAAAAAUACAUUACAUCUUCAUAUUCAUUCUUCUUGAAGGAAGUAAGAACAAUAUAGAAUUCUAACAAAGAGAGUAAUAACUUCUUUAAAUCUAAAAAUAAAAAAGUAAAUAUACUAUGGAAAAACCUCAAAAAAAAAAACCCCUAAAGAAAGACGUCCAAAGAAAAAUCUUGAAAAGUGGCCAAUUUUUUUUUUUUUUUUUUUUCUUUUUUUCAAAAACACAAUGAAACUUCAUACUAAUUGUGAGGCCAAAUUUCACCAUUUGAUGAAACCUAUGCUACACAACAAGUCCAAGAGGUGGAAUUGGAGAGCUCUCAAUUGUAUAAUUGUUAGAUUAAUUUAAAUCUUUAUAUUAAAAAUUCAAUUAGUUUUAGGCCUUUCAAGCAAUGGUUACCAACAUUAAAUUAAUAUUUUAAAUGGAAUUUACUAUGCAAACAUAAUAAAAAUAAUUAAUUAAGUUAUUACUAUUAAUUGACCAUAAGAAUAAAAACUUAAGUUUGAAUUAAAAGCUAAGUUAAAAGUUAAGUUAAAAAAGUUACAAUUAAAAAUUAAGAUUAAAAAGUUAAGUUAAAAGUUAAAAUUAAAAGGUUAAGUAAAAACAAGUAAGUUAAAAUUUAAAAUUAAAGGUUAAGUGAAAAGUUAAAAUUAAAAGUUAAAAUUAAAGUUAAAAGUUAAAGUUAAAAAUUAAAGUGAGAAUCUUAAAGGUUAAAAGUUAAACUUAAAAUUUAUUACCCAAAAAGUGAAAUUUGGAGCUUACAAGUCACUGUGAAGACGAUAGUAAAAAUAAAGUGAGAUGUAAAACCGAAGGUACCUUGACAACACGUAAGGAUUGAAGGCAGCAACCCCCUUCUACUCCAAAAUUCGCCAAAAUUUGUAAUCGGCUUCAAUUUGAACGAUUCUUAGCUUGUUGUAAGGCUGACUUAAAGGCGCUUUUGAUCCAACAAUCCUUGUUGCAAUCUAAUGAUCCAAUCGUGAGGAUUCCUCCUUUGAAGUUGAAUGAUCCAAACUGCUGCGGUGACCAACUCUCUUAGAAAUUCACUAGAAAUUCAGAUUGUCUUAAAAUUCAACAAAACUUGUGCCUUUCAGAGCUUAGCUUAUAAAGCUUGAUGCUUCCAAAAUUUCUAAUAAAUCCAAUUACUAGGCGCUAAGAAAUGCCUUUCAAAACUUGAAUGAUGCAAACUGCAAAGGUAGUCGACUCCCUCAAACUCAGAAAUUCACCAAAAAUUCCUUCUUACUCCAAAUCAAGCAAGUCUUAUCUUGUUGGAAAGCUAACAACAAUAUCUACAAAUAUUCAGAAUCUCACAUUGAAAGAACAGAAAUUGAGUGACUGAUUGAAGAAAAUCCGAGGCCCUUGAAACCCUUGGGAUAUUUGGAAAGCCGAGGAGAUAUCUACUUCAAUGAAACAUAUUUUAAAACUUAAUGACCAUCCUUCACAAUGCAAUAUCCAUACAUACACAAUCACAAGGUUCACAAUGAGGAUUAAAAUCUAAAUAAAAUUAAGAUUAGGGUUUUGGCCAAAUUUUGGCAUGGCUUCGCCCUUCACCCAAAAG
rnacentral:lncRNA from 1 species